GCCUGGCUGGCUCAGUUUGGCAGAGCAUGUGACUCUUGAUCUCAGGGUUGUGAGUUCAAGCCCCAUGUUGAGUG
rnacentral:tRNA from 1 species